CCUACGGGAGGCAGCAGUGGGGAAUAUUGGACAAUGGGCGAAAGCCUGAUCCAGCAAUGCCGCGUGAGUGAUGAAGGCCUUAGGGUUGUAAAGCUCUUUUACCAGGGAUGAUAAUGACAGUACCUGGAGAAUAAGCUCCGGCUAACUCCGUGCCAGCAGCCGCGGUAAUACGGAGGGAGCUAGCGUUGUUCGGAAUUACUGGGCGUAAAGCGUGCGUAGGCGGUGAUUCAAGUCAGAGGUGAAAGCCUGGAGCUCAACUCCAGAACGGCCUUUGAAACUAGAUCGCUAGAAUUAUGGAGAGGUAAGUGGAAUUCCGAGUGUAGAGGUGAAAUUCGUAGAUAUUCGGAAGAACACCAGUGGCGAAGGCGACUUACUGGACAUAUAUUGACGCUGAGGUACGAAAGCGUGGGGAGCAAACAGGAUUAGAUACCCUGGUAGUCCACGCCGUAAACGAUGAUAACUAGCUGUUCGGGCUCUCAGAGCUUGUAGUGGCGCGAGCGUACGACAUUAAGUUAGUUCCGUCCGUCGGGGUAGGUACGGUCGGCGAAGUAAGUUAAACGUAACUUAAAGUUAGUAAGUUAGUUACGGACGUUGAGACGUGCCGACGGACGACGACGAGGGAGGUUAGG
rnacentral:rRNA from 1 species